GGUUGGGAUGUCAUUUAUAAUAAUAAAUAGCACGCUAGUUUGGAGUAUAGUGAAAAUGCAAUGUGUUUUUGUGCCCUUAACGACUGCAUUUAAUUUAUAUCUUUAAAUAAAAAAAAGACUAUGUAAUUAAUGAAAAUAUCAACAUCUCUCUCUAGUUUCUUAUAAAGAGAAGCUUUCUUUUCUUAUGUCUUUUUUCUUCUUUGAAGCUAAGCCUCUGCUGCUGCCGUGGAAUUCGUCGACUUCUCCUGUCCCUUCCAUGCAAGAUGAGCUCCUCUUCCUCGACUUGACUUAGUGUGAAGGUUUUUUUUUGUUCCACUCUCGGAUUAGGUAGAAUUUCAACUUGCUCCGAAAAAUCCUUUUUCUUUUUUGGAUGGGUGGCUCAGAGUUGAUUCGUUGAACUUUGCUCAAGAGGAGAUAUUUUCAUCACCAACAGUGUUGAUAGUAUUUAGGCAAUUAGAUCUUGCUGGAGGAGUUGCGAUGCUGAAAAUUGAAGCCACCGGGUAAGAAUCACAUCCUUCUAUGACAUGAAUAGAGUUUUUGUCAUUGGACUUUUCAUGUAUUUUUUUUUUCUUUGGGCCCUAAAAAGACUAUGUAUUUGAUCUCUUUGUUGGCAGCUUUGGGUUGUCCUUCUUUAAUAAAUCAUAUCUAUUGAUUAAAA